CUUUUUUUUUCUUUUUAUCAAAUAAUUUUCUUGGUGUUGAAAUAUGGGCAGCAAGAUGUUGCGCGGAUGUGCUGACACCUUAAAAUUUAAGAAUGAAAAAUGAGUUUGAAAACGCCGUCAACGCUUACAAGCGUUUUUCCUCUCCCCGUAAGAGUUUAGGUAAAUUUGUUUUUUUAUUUUGUAUUGUUGUAUAUGCAUAGUUCAGGAUAAUAGAUACCGUGUUUUCUCAGAAUCAUCUCCAACUAUAUCCAAGUAUUCCUCGCAUGAAGCCCAUCUCACAGGGUCAUAGAAUAAUACAAAAGGCCAACAUGUUACAUGAGAAUUUGGCUCCAAAACGUUUGACCGCAACUGGCCGAAAUCGCACUUUCCUUGGUUGCUAUUGUAACCGUUAUUAUAUCGACGGGUGUAUAUUUUCGGUUUUGUCUUGUCAUCUCAUCGCCAGCGUUGAUAUCAUUGGAGGACGGAUAGGUUUAUUGUCCAGGAUUUGUUCAAGAUCCAUCAUAACGGCAGCCAACAAUCCCUUUUUGUUUUGUUUCUGGAGACAAAUUGCACUCUACAUUCAUAUCUGUAAAGGAACAUGGUGCACAUUAGACUACAAUUGUAUGAAUGUUAAUAAAUGCCAGACAUUACCAAUCAUUAA